ACGGCAAGAUCAACAUCAGACUGGUGACUUUGUACCUCUGGUACGGUCGCUAACCUAUAUCGAACAUGGUUCUUGCCUUUUACCAGAACCAUCCGGGUGUUGUCUUCGCCAGGUGCGGGGUCCAGUACUGAUCAUUUUUUGGAAACAUUUUUUUUUCUUGUUGA